UACGGGGGGGGGCAAGCGUUGUUCGGAAUUACUGGGCGUAAAGGGCUCGUAGGCGGCCAACUAAGUCGGAUGUGAAAUCCCCAAGCUUAACUUGGGGAACUGCAUCCGAUACUGGAUGGCUUGAAUCCGGGAGAGGGAUGCAGAAUUCCAGGUGUAGCGGUGAAAAUGCGUAGAUAUCUGGGAGGAAUACCGGUGGCGAAGGCGGCAUCCUGGACCGGCAUUGACGCUGAGGAGCGAAAAGCUAGGGGAGCAAACGGGG
rnacentral:rRNA from 1 species